AGUGGCGGACGGGUGAGUAACGCGUAAGAAUCUAACUUCAGGACGGGGACAACAGUGGGAAACGACUGCUAAUACCCGAUGUGCCGCGAGGUGAAACCUAAUUGGCCUGAAGAAGAGCUUGCGUCUGAUUAGCUAGUUGGUGGGGUAAGAGCCUACCAAGGCGACGAUCAGUAGCUGGUCUGAGAGGAUGAGCAGCCACACUGGGACUGAGACACGGCCCAGACUCCUACGGGAGGCAGCAGUGGGGAAUUUUCCGCAAUGGGCGAAAGCCUGACGGAGCAACGCCGCGUGAGGGAGGGAGGUCUUUGGAUUGUAAACCUCUUUUCUCAAGGAAGAAGUUCUGACGGUACUUGAGGAAUCAGCCUCGGCUAACUCCGUGCCAGCAGCCGCGGUAAUACGGGGGAGGCAAGCGUUAUCCGGAAUUAUUGGGCGUAAAGCGUCCGCAGGUGGUCAGCCAAGUCUGCCGUCAAAUCAGGUUGCUUAACGACUUAAAGGCGGUGGAAACUGGCAGACUAGAGAGCAGUAGGGGUAGCAGGAAUUCCCAGUGUAGCGGUGAAAUGCGUAGAGAUUGGGAAGAACAUCGGUGGCGAAAGCGUGCUACUGGGCUGUAUCUGACACUCAGGGACGAAAGCUAGGGGAGCGAAAGGGAUUAGAUACCCCUGUAGUCCUAGCCGUAAACGAUGGAUACUAGGCGUGGCUU
rnacentral:rRNA from 1 species